CUACGGGAUGUCUAUAAGAGCAGAUCGCCGGGACAGCCCGCUGAAUUGCAUGACAUGAGGAGUGAGGCGCAGGUGCCAGAAGCGAAAUUUAAAAAGAUCAAAAUCCGACAUAUAUUUUUUUUACAAGAAUGUAGUAGCAGUGCUGGCCAUGGGGUUUUAUUCAAGUCGUAAAGUGUAGAAAUCUCCGCUGGAGUUGAGAAGACCAUGGGGGUCGCGGGGGGAGCUGGAAUCCAUCCCAGCCAAGAUCGGGCGAGAGACGGGGCCGUCAAUUGCAGGGCUGACACAUAUCCACACAUAUAUGCAUAUCUAUACACAUGUACAUAUGUAUAUAUACAUGCACAGGAAUAACUGAACUCUACGAGCCUGACUAUGAUUUCAGCACAUAGGUAUCAAUAAUUACAUGUAAGAGAUGUUAUGCUAAGGACAAUAUGUUUGAAUACAUUUUUAAAAAAGCUUUACAUAUGUGCUGUACAUUUGAGAAGGAAUAUUACAGGACCAAAUUCUGGAAGGAGGAAGACUCCUUGACAGAUAGGUGAAGGUUUUGGGUUUUGAAGUUAGAGCAGGGCAGCCAUCAGGGAAAGACUACAUGUAUAAUCCUAAUGAAAACCAAUCCCCUCCUCCCAGCAAAAGAGCAACGGGAAUUUCCUGAAACUGCCGUUAAUUCUGAUAUUCACUCCUCGUCCUAGGUGUCUUUUUUGUCAAAUUUCUAAGGAAAGCUUUUGGUUUGUGAUUUCCCCAUUCACAAAUAUGCAAGUUUAAGUACAAGCCAUGUCAUGUCUUAUUUCUGAUUAAUAAAUAGAUUAAUCAAUAAUA